UUGGGUUUUUUGGGGUUUUUUCAAAAAUAGCAAAUUUUCAGUUGAAUGAACGUCAUAUUUAUUUCUGAAUAAAAACAAAAACUAGCAUAAAUACCAUGAAGUAAGUAGUAGGUGAAUACAAAACGAGAGAAACUGAAACUAAACUAAUAAAACACUUAUUUUAAACAUGGUAUAUAGACAAA
rnacentral:lncRNA from 1 species